GAGAGAGAGAGAGAGAGAGAGAGAGAGAGAUAUAGAAGAGAGAGUGCGUAGGAUAAGAGAAGGUGCGUAGGAUAAGAGAGAGGGAGAGAUGAACGUUCUCCACAGAAUCGCAUCCUGUCCGUCCAUCUUCAUCUCAUCUUCCUCCGCCUGUUUCAAACUCCCGCCAAACCUCCACCAAUCCUCUCUCGUCAUUACAAAACCCUUAUUCUCUUCUCCUCCUUCUCUCAGAACACUCAUCUCCUUUUCAUACGCGAGAGCUAGGGUUAGGGUUUCCGUACAUGGGAUCUCCACCACAACCACCGUCUCUUCUCCUUCCUCCUCCGCUGCUGCUGUCGCCGCAGUCGAGGAGAAGGUUCCUCCUCCGCAGAAGGGAGGAGAUUCGGAGGCGGAAGUGGAGAGAGUCGUUCUUCCCACCAACGAUUCUUCCGAGAAAUUGCUGCGGAUUCGCCACACGUGUGCCCAUGUAAUGGCUAUGGCUGUCCAGAAGCUCUUCCCAGAUUCUAAAGUGACAAUAGGUCCAUGGAUAGACAAUGGAUUUUACUAUGAUUUUGAUAUGGAACCUUUAACUGACAAAGAUCUGAAGAGGAUUAAAAAGGAAAUGGAUCGUAUCAUUAGCCGAAAUCUGCCAUUAAUACGAGAAGAAGUUUCUCGUGACGAAGCUCAAAAAAGGAUAAUGGAACUAAAUGAACCAUACAAAUUGGAGAUUUUGGAAAGUAUCAAGGAGGAUCCUAUCACCAUCUAUCAUAUUGGAAAUGAAUGGUGGGACCUCUGUGCUGGACCCCAUGUCGAUUCGACUGGAACUAUAAACAAGAAAGCUGUUGAAUUAGAAUCAGUUGCUGGGGCAUACUGGAGAGGAGAUGAAAAUAAGCCAAUGCUGCAGAGGAUAUAUGGUACAGCAUGGGAGACUGAAGAACAGUUGAAGGCUUAUCUUCAUUUCAAAGAGGAGGCAAAACGCCGUGAUCAUAGGCGCCUGGGUCAAGAUCUUGAUCUGUUUUCUAUACAGGAUGAAGCAGGUGGAGGGUUAGUGUUUUGGCAUCCAAAAGGUGCCAUCGUUAGGCACCUUAUUGAAGAUUCAUGGAAAAAAAUACAUGUUCAACAUGGCUAUGAUCUGCUGUACACUCCACAUGUCGCAAAGGCAGAUCUGUGGAAGAUCAGUGGUCACCUGGACUUCUACAAGGAAAAUAUGUAUGAUCAAAUGAAAAUUGAGGAUGAGCUCUAUCAACUUCGACCCAUGAACUGCCCUUACCACAUUUUACUUUAUAAACGGAAGCUGCAUUCUUAUAGAGAUUUUCCAAUUAGAGUUGCGGAGUUAGGAACGGUGUAUAGAUACGAGUUAUCUGGAAGCUUACAUGGCCUAUUCCGUGUUAGAGGUUUCACUCAGGAUGAUGCACACAUAUUCUGUCUAGAUGAUCAAAUCAAAGAUGAAAUCAGAGGUGUCUUGGAUCUAACUGAAGAAAUACUUCGGCAAUUUGGUUUUAGAAGGUAUGAGGUAAACCUUUCCACUAGGCCAGAGAAAGCAGUGGGUAGUGAUGAUAUUUGGGAAAAAGCGACCGCUGCCCUUCGAGAUGCUUUGGAUACUAAGGGUUGGGACUACCAAAUUGAUGAAGGUGGAGGUGCCUUUUAUGGUCCAAAGAUUGAUCUCAAGAUUGAAGAUGCUCUUGGAAGAAAGUGGCAAUGUUCAACUGUGCAGGUUGAUUUCAAUUUGCCACAGCGCUUUGACAUUUCUUAUGUCGACUCAAACUCCGAGAAGAGACGACCGAUCAUGAUCCACAGAGCUGUGCUUGGAUCCUUAGAACGCUUUUUUGGGGUACUCAUAGAGCACUAUGCAGGUGAUUUUCCAUUAUGGAUUUCACCAGUCCAAGCUCGUAUCCUGCCUGUCACCGAUACUGAGCUAAAAUACUGCAAUGAGGUGGCAACGCGAUUGAAAGCUAAUGGCAUCCGAGCUGAGGUUUGCCAUGGCGAGCGCCUACCCAAGCUCAUACGAACUGCUGAGAAGCAGAAGGUGCCAUUGAUGGCAGUUGUGGGUCCGAAGGAAGUUGAGAGCCAAACAGUUACGGUUAGAUCAAGGUUUGGCAGGGAGCUUGGAACCGUGGCCGUUGAUGAUUUUAUUCACAAAAUCCAGUUUGCUGUCGAGAACAGAACUUCAUUCUAGGAAGCAUCUCUGCAUUUCAAUGGGUGGUGAUCCUGUAAAUUGGCAGGUGAUCCAGGCCAUUCAUCAGUUCCUAAAUCUAUCAGUUGGGCCAGGGCAUGCACGUGUUGGUGCCCGCCUGAUGAAUUGCCUAGAGCUCAUGCGUGCCCACAAGUAGGAUUCUAGAGAAAGUUUGAAGGGACCAGUGGUGCUGUUGAUUUAGCCAUUGUUGAAGUUGGUCAAAAGCUCAACCCAGGCAGCAUUGAAUUUGAGGUUGUAGUCGGAACUCAUUGACUUCUUUAUUUUGGAAUUUUGAGGGGAAAAAUCUUCUAGGGUCUGACAGAACUGAGUGAUGAUAUCCCCCGUUCUAGGGCAGGAAAGCGCCUUUUUUAAGGGCAGGAAAGCGUCAUGAGAAAUCCCAGCCUGCUGAACCGGGCUCCAUACGCAGCUUCGUCUGGUUGACUUGAAGACCCGGCCUACUUCUUACUCUUCUUGAUUGGAUAUUUAAUUCAAAACAUUAUAGAGAGAUGCUCUAAUUCUCCUAGCUGCAUUGAUUGACUUGGACAGUCCAAUUGGUCGAUCUGAACCGUCCAAUAAAUUGAGAAUACAUCAUGGGCUACCAUGCAAAAAACAUAAUGAUCUGAUGAUCCAAUUCCCUCCUUGAUUUGGUCUUAUUUUCUAUAGGCACCCUUAUUCCAAGCCAUGGAUGGGAUGGUUAAGAUUGUGUUAUGAAAGUGGGUCUUUAGAAUCCUAAGCAAAUCAAGAUGGUUCCUAACAGAUAGAUAGAUUGACGUGUUGUUUUGACUCAUUUUUGUAUAUAUGAUCUUGGCCGUCCGUGUUUAAGGUCAUUUGAUCGAAUGGUUAAUAAUUGUCGGAUUAGUGUGAUUUUUUCACGGUGGCCAAUGAAAUGUAUAUUGGACCUAAUGAAGGUGGAGACACUGGAGCUUCUGUGUUUUAUAGA